rnacentral:rRNA from 1 species
UUGGGAAUCUUGCACAAUGGGGGCAACCCUGAUGCAGCGACGCCGCGUGGAGGAUGAAGGAUCUAGGUCUGUAAACUCCUUUUUCAGGGAAAGACUUAGGACGGUACCCUGAGAAUAAGCUCCGGCUAACUACGUGCCAGCAGCCGCGGUAAGACGUAGGGAGCAAGCGUUGUCCGGAUUUACUGGGCGUAAAGGGCGCGUAGGCGGUCUGUUAAGUGAGAGACUGAAAUCUCCAGAGCUCAACUCGGAAACUGGAUCUCAUACUGGCAGACUGGAGGAAGGCAGAGGUAACUGGAAUUCCUGGUGUAGCGGUGAAAUGCGUUGAUAUCAGGAGGAACUCCAAUGGCGAAGGCAGGUUACUGGGCCUUAUCUGACGCUGAGGCGCGAAAGCGUGGGUAGCAAACAGG